rnacentral:tRNA from 3 species
GCGGAUGUAGCUCAGUUGGUAGAGCAUCACCUUGCCAAGGUGAGGGUCGCGGGUUCGAGUCCCGUCAUCCGCUC